UACGGAGGGAGCUAGCGUUGUUCGGAAUUACUGGGCGUAAAGCGCACGUAGGCGGCGAUUCAAGUCAGAGGUGAAAGCCCGGGGCUCAACCCCGGAACUGCCUUUGAAACUAGAUUGCUAGAAUCCUGGAGAGGUUAGUGGAAUUCCGAGUGUAGAGGUGAAAUUCGUAGAUAUUCGGAAGAACACCAGUGGCGAAGGCGGCUCACUGGACCGGUAUUGACGCUGAGGUGCGAAAGCGUGGGGAGCAAACAGG
rnacentral:rRNA from 1 species